CACACCAUGGGAGUCGAUUGCUCCAGAAGUGGCUGCGCCAACCCCUCUCGCAAGGGAGAGGAGGCAGGCCCCAAGGAGUGGUUGGUAACUGGGGUG
rnacentral:rRNA from 1 species